CCUACGGGGGGCAGCAGUGGGGAAUAUUGGACAAUGGGGGGAACCCUGAUCCAGCCAUGCCGCGUGUGUGAAGAAGGCCCUCGGGUUGUAAAGCACUUUCAGUGAGGAAGAACGCCUGGUGGUUAAUACCCAUCAGGAAAGACAUCACUCACAGAAGAAGCACCGGCUAACUCCGUGCCAGCAGCCGCGGUAAUACGGAGGGUGCGAGCGUUAAUCGGAAUUACUGGGCGUAAAGCGCGCGUAGGUGGCUUGAUAAGCCGGUUGUGAAAGCCCCGGGCUCAACCUGGGAACGGCAUCCGGAACUGUCAAGCUAGAGUGCAGGAGAGGAAGGUAGAAUUCCCGGUGUAGCGGUGAAAUGCGUAGAGAUCGGGAGGAAUACCAGUGGCGAAGGCGGCCUUCUGGACUGAAACUGACACUGAGGUGCGAAAGCGUGGGUAGCAAACAGGAUUAGAUACCCCAGUAGUC
rnacentral:rRNA from 1 species